UUCCCCUAGUAGCGGCGAGCGAAGCGGGAAAAGCUCAAAUUUGUAAUCUGGCGUCUUCGACGUCCGAGUUGUAAUCUCGAGAAGUGUUUUCCGUGAUAGACCGCAUACAAGUCUCUUGGAACAGAGCGUCAUAGUGGUGAGAACCCAGUACACGAUGCGGAUGCCUAUUACUUUGUGAUACACUUUCGAAGAGUCGAGUUGUUUGGGAAUGCAGCUCAAAUUGGGUGGUAAAUUCCAUCUAAAGCUAAAUAUUGGCGAGAGACCGAUAGCGAACAAGUACCGUGAGGGAAAGAUGAAAAGCACUUUGGAAAGAGAGUUAACAGUACGUGAAAUUGUUGGAAGGGAAACACAUGCAGUGAUACUUGCUAUUCGGGGCAACUCGAUUGGCAGGCCCGCAUCAGUUUUUCGGGGCGGAAAAGCAUAGAGAGAAGGUAGCAGUUUCGGCUGUGUUAUAGCUCUUUAUUGGAUUCGCCCUGGGGGACUGAGGAACGCAGC
rnacentral:rRNA from 1 species